GGAGAGGUGGCCGAGCGGCUUAAGGCGCUAGUCUCGAAAACUAGUUUGGGGGCAACUUCAACGUGGGUUCGAAUCCCACCCUCUCCGCCA
rnacentral:tRNA from 3 species